rnacentral:rRNA from 1 species
GACGAACGCUGGCGGCGUGCUUAACACAUGCAAGUCGAACGGAAAGGCCCCCUUGUGGGGUACUCGAGUUUCGAACGGGUGGGUAACACGUGAGUAACCUACCCUUGCCUUUGGGAUAACUUCAGUAAACUGGAGCUAAUACCGUAUAGGAUCUCCUGCUGCAUCGUGUGGGUUGGUAGGUUUCGGCGGUUGGGGAUGGACUCGCGGCUUAUCAGCUUGUUGGUGGGGUAGUGGGUCACCAAGGCUUUGACGGUUAGCCGGCAUGAGAGGGUGACCGGCCACAUUGGGACUGAGAUACGGACCAGACUCCUACGGGAGGCAGCAGGGGGGAAUAUUGCACAAUGGGCGGAAGCCUGAUGCAGAAACGCCGCGUGCGGGAUGACGGCCUUCGGGUUGUAAACAGCUUUCGCCUGUGACGAAGCGUGAGUGACGGUAAUGGGUAAAGAAGCACCGGCUAACUACGUG